ensembl:lncRNA
CUACGUGGGGGGAGGGCCUGGGAGGAGGACAGCAGCUCACAGCACACUCAGCUGCUGAAGAUAAGUGGAUGAAUCCGCAAAUGAGUACAGAACCGUCACGAUCAAUCUAAGAGCCCUGCCUCCGAGCACAUGAGCGUUUGGGGGGCCAUCCUAGAUCUAAACCCUAACAUCGCCUCUCAGCUGCAUGAUGGUGGUCUUCUGUUGGACAUUUUACCUGCCUGACACAAAGCACAGACAAGAAUCAUCCAUUCGGUCUGACCCCACCUCCCAGAAGUUCUGCCACCUCCCAGUUGCAUCCCAGGCUGGCAACACACGCCUCUGGGGGACAUUCAAGAUUCACGCUAUAUCACCUGAUCUCCCUGGCAUCUCCGCUCUUCCCUCGACAAUAACCCCAAAUUGCACUGAUAUGAGCUGGAAAAAGGUGAGCAGGCCUCCUCUGCCAUGUGCUCCACCCACAGUGUCCUGUGCUGCCACAGGUCCAAAGCAAUAGGACCAAGGAACCAUAGACUGAAACCUUGGAAACCAGAAGACAAAAUGAAGCAUUUUGUCACAGUGCUGGGAAGUGGACACAAGUACCUAUAUAAGGUGAUGGACAUGUUCAGUAGCCCGAUCAGGGUGACCAUUCCUAUAGAGAGAGA